rnacentral:lncRNA from 1 species
CGUACAGUCCCCCCGGGGAUUACUGGCUGGGGGUGCUGUCGACUUCUGACAGGACGAGGUCGGGCCUGAAGCAGCGUGACAGCCGAACAUCUGAGGGGAACGGGAGGAGGCUGGGGGCCGACGGGCCGCGCUUCUCCCACCCUUCCGCGCCCAGGGGCGGGUCUGAACCGCCACAUGCUCCAAGGGAAGCCCCCACAGAAGCCCUGCCAAAGACAGCGCCCCCCGCCCCAGACCCGCGGGCCGGGAACCCCGGCGGCAGGUGCGCCCUCGCCGCCCGGGGGCCAGUCUAGAGAGUGGAGAGACCGGCCAGCUCUGCGGAGGAGCAUCUUCCGGCUGCUUGCACAGGGUUCAGUUGACGAAGCAGGAGCAGGAGGGAAGCCCGGCGGGGACCGGGCGAGCUCUCGUCGAGCCGGGGCUUCUUCUGGCUCGUGCGACCCGUCAGGCACGAGCAGGGUUAAGUGUGUGUGGGGGGCGGAGAGGGAAUCCCAGACCGCCGGAACUGGAGACUUCCCAGCCGAGGGCGAAGCGGCCGCGAGAGGCAGCGCCGGCCACCCCGUGGCUUCCGUCGGCACCUGGGCGCGCGGAGUCGUGAGGACACGUCGACAGCCGCCCGCAGGACACGCGGCAGACCCGCCACGGCCGCCGCCAGGGCUGCCAGCAAGCUCCGAGCUGGGAACCUGGGACCUGUGCUGUGACAGGCCAUGUUCGGGCUCAGGGGUGUGGCUCAGAAAGCCCAUGAUCUGGGGAAGCACAGAAACCAACCUGCCCCAGGAGACUUGA